AUCACUACCAAGCAUGAAAGCCUCGUGACAACACAUUUAGCAAUUCUAAAUCUCUCUGAUUGUAACUUCUUUAGGAAUGUUUAUAAACUAAAACACAAGGCCAUUUGACGAGUAUUUCACUGUGCAGAUCCAUAAUUAUUUCUUCAUUGGCCUCUUUUUUUGGUUCUCUCCCCCAACAAACUCACUUCUUUUAGCUGCAUGCAUAUUGGCUUCGAUUGCCAUACUGAUGCAGCGCCGUACGGUGGGAGGCUGAAUAGCUAACUGUGCAGUGUUUGAACGUUGAGAACCAGUUUUGCUUGACAGAGGAUAAAGAGCAUCAUACAUGGUUUUAACAACACAAGCAGAGUGUUGGGUCUCAGGCAUCAUCCAAUGUGAUACUUUUCACGUCAAAAAUGAACAUCGAUGCCACCUACCCGGACAACCUUUGGGAUUUUCAGUUUUUCAACUUUCAAGAUGCACUGGGAAAAAGAACAGAGAUGUGAGAGUAUGCAAUGCAUGGUGGAAAUGGCGUACAAGUGCUCGAAAUUUAUGUGACUUUUUUUAGUUUUGUGGAAUCUCUGAAACACACUGAUUUCCUUGUUGCUCUUCACUUUUCUACAUCACUCCCUGAAAAGAAAUACAUACGUUAAAAUCUUUC